rnacentral:rRNA from 1 species
AACGUAGGACACAAGCGUUAUCCGGAGUUACUGGGCGUAAAGGGCGUGUAGGCGGCCGUGUAAGUCUAUUCUGAAAGCUCCUGGCUAAACUGGGAGAGGCGAAUGGAGACUGCAUAUCUAGAGUGAGGAAGAGGAAAGUGGAAUUCCGCGUGUAGUGGUGAAAUGCGUAGAGCUCGGGAAGAACAUCGGUGGCGAAAGCGCUCUGCUGGACUGCAACUGACACUCAGGGACGAAAGCUAGGGGAGCGAAUGGG